rnacentral:lncRNA from 1 species
GGAAGACGAUUGAAGAAAUACUAUACAGGCAAAAACAAAUGAAAUGUGGAUCAUUAGGGUAAGAAAAGUCAAUAAUAAGAGCUCGGGAUGGCCCUGAGACCAGAACUAGGUAGGAAAGUGGAAGAAGAAGGUUCUCAGGCAGAAGCCUGCCCCUGAGGGCACCAGCUUCUGGAACCAGUUUGGCAGCAUUUUAAGUCAGCCCUGCAAACAGAGCCAGCCACCGGACCCCUGGUUGGGUCAGACUGUGUGUGUGUGUGUGUGUGUGUGUCUGUGUUUGUGUGUGUGCUCACAGGGGUAGACGCUCUCUUCUGUGACUCCUUUCAAGGAUGGUGAGGUAUGAAGGUUUCCAUGUUUCCUAUCUGGGUCAGACUUGAUUCAGGAAUUGGAACCCAGUGUGUCUUAAGAGGUGGAUGGAGGGAGAUUCAGAAGUCAGAGCUGGGAAUGAGAAUGACUGUCUAGACCAUCCAUCAGUUGAUAAAAAUGAGUUAUGACAUACCAGGUACAGCAGCAGCACCAGUAUUAUUAUUAUUAUUAUUAUUAUUAGUAGUAGUAGUAGUAGUAGUAAUAGUAAUAGUAGCAGUAUUUUAGUACUGGGGAUUGAACCCGUGGUCACUGUACCACUGAGCUAUAUCCCCAAGUCCUUUUUUAAAAAUUUGAGACAAGGUCUCACUAAGUUACUGAGGGUCUUGCUAAGUUGCUAUGGCCGGCCCAACCUGCAAUCCUCCUGCCUCAGCCUCCUGAAACUUGGAUUAGGAAGGGACAUCACUGCUCCAGGCUCAAGCACUCUAGUUUGAGAAUGGCAUCCCCUCAAAUGCAUUUCCCACCUGUCUAAGCUUUCUCACUUUUACCAUUAAAAACUCUGAAUCUUCAACUCUCUUACAUUCAAAAUCACUGAGGCACUCAACUAAUUUGACCUUCUGGGAGCUUUCUACUGUGGUGACCCAAACUCCUCUCUCUCAAAAUACUCUCUUGGGUUUCCUUGAUGUCAUACUUUCACAGGUUUUCUCCUGAUUUACUGACUGCUUCUUCUUAGAUUCCUUUAAAAUCCCUUAAGUGAUGAUAGUCUUUGGAGGUUCUGCCACAAAAUCUCCUUUCUUCCCAUUAGGCAGUCUGAUCUGUCCCCAUGAUCUCUAUUUGUACCACAUUUCUUUCUUAGAACCACAGCAAACUGCUCCCACUACUGCAUACACAAAUGCAUUCUUUGUGUGCUGUUUCCUCUAUACUUUUCUCAUGAGCCUGGGAUACUCAGAGCAAUUGGUAUAUUAUUGGCACCAAUACCAUCAUAAACCCAAACAUACACAGGGGGACUGAAACCAAG